rnacentral:rRNA from 1 species
AUUGAACGCUGGCGGCAUGCUUUACACAUGCAAGUCGAACGGUAACAGGCCGCAAGGUGCUGACGAGUGGCGAACGGGUGAGUAAUGCAUCGGAACGUGCCCAGUCGUGGGGGAUCACGCAGCGAAAGCUGCGCUAAUACCGCAUACGAGCUAUGGAUGAAAGCGGGGGACCGUAAGGCCUCGCGCGAUUGGAGCGGCCGAUGUCAGAUUAGGUAGUUGGUGGGGUAAAGGCUCACCAAGCCAACGAUCUGUAGCUGGUCUGAGAGGACGACCAGCCACACUGGGACUGAGACACGGCCCAGACUCCUACGGGAGGCAGCAGUGGGGAAUUUUGGACAAUGGGCGCAAGCCUGAUCCAGCAAUGCCGCGUGCAGGAAGAAGGCCUUCGGGUUGUAAACUGCUUUUGUACGGAACGAAACGGCUCUGGUUAAUACCUGGGGCUAAUGACGGUACCGUAAGAAUAAGCACCGGCUAACUACGUGCCAGCCGCCGCAGUAACAC